UGAACCUCAAUAUGGAACCUAACGUGUAGGUUCGGACAACCGUUUGGCCUUCCGAAACCUAUGCCCGCCCAUAAACAAACAAAACAUUAAUUACCUCUAAUAACAUCUAUAAAAAAUAAUACAACAACACUUAAAACCCUCACCUUGCAGCCAAAAACAGAAGAAAAAGGAGAGAGAAAGAAGAAACCAGUAAGACUGGUGACAGUAGAAGAAGACUCAUCAAGAAGAAGACUCAUUGAUCCUUCUCUGAGAAGCUAAAUUUAACAUGUGUAGAAGAAGACUCAUCAAGAAAAUAGAAAUAUCCGCCAUUACUUGACUCCCAAGAUUUCAUUUUCUCUCACCUCUGAAACUUUUUCCUUGCAUGAUGGCUGUGUCUAGCUAGCUGAUCCAUUAAAGGAUUCACAGUUUUCCAAAUCCCCACGAGAAACCCAGUUCCCCUUCACGGAAAA
rnacentral:lncRNA from 1 species